rnacentral:lncRNA from 1 species
UUAAUUCCAGAAAUAGUAACAAAAUUUACCUUUAUAAAUUAGCCACUAAAAUUUCAUACUUUCAUCGACCGAUUUUCUAUAUUAAACGAAGAAAUAGGUAUGCGCUCUAACCCUAGCUCUAAAUCAAUAAGCACAUAUAUACUUUCCACACACGUACACAAAUAUAUAUAUAUAUAUAUAUAUAUAUAUAUAUAUAUAUAUAUAUGUUAUUGUCUUUAUUAAUUACUUGUUUUAUAGGGCAUGCACUAGUAGUGUACAUGCAUGCUUAAUUUAAUUUAGUAUUCGUGGAAAAAUAAUUAAUAAACUUAUGCAUGUUCAUCAGGGAAGGACUUGACAAAGAUUUUAAUCAUGAAGGUCUUCAUGUUAAUAAUGUUGGUGCUGAUUUCGGUAACUUUUGAAACCAACGCAGUAAAUCGCAGGCUUCUUCUUCUUCAAAGAGAUGAUGUGAAUUAUGUUUGUAAGGGUAUAAAUAGUAGUGGGAACAAAUUAGGAGGAUCAGCUGCUCAUGAAAAUAAUAAUAAUACUCCUACUAUUAUUAAUAAUAAGCAGGUGGGUGUUGAGCUAGAUCGUGACGAUGAUGAUGAGAACGAGAGAGGGAAAGGAGAUUCGGGAACAUCUUCUGGAUCUGUACACAAGCAUAGAUCUAAUAACGACCGCCCUGGAGGAUCCCAUCCAUAAAUAUAUAUAUAUAUAUAUAUAUAUAUAUAUAUAUAUAUAUAUAUGUGUGUGUGUGUGUGUGUGUGUGUGUGUGUGUGUGUGUGUGUGGGUGUGGAGUAGCGCUAGCUUGCUUAUCUGCAGAGUAGAUUUGUUUUUAAUGAAGUUGAGAUUUUAUAAAAUUAAUAAGUUCAAUAUAAAAAAAAAUGAGUUGUAUUCAUAUAGCACAAACGUACAAGCCAGCGUUUCACUUUUGUGCUAUAUAUGUACAUGCAAUUUAUUUUUAUACUUAUUAAACUUGUCCAAUUAAUUUCCUAAAAAGAUCAACUUCACUAAAUUCAAAUUAUUCUAAAGCUAGUUGUAUGUAGAUAAAUAUAUAUAUGCAUGGGAAGAUGAAGUGUUUGUGUAAAAUUGGUAAUAAUGUGACUCCAUCGAGUAUCACAGCGUAUGUUUAGCACGUUAUGAGAUGUACAAGUUUGUUGAUGUAAAUAUAUAUAUAUAUAUAUAUAUAUAUAUAUAUAUAUAUAUGUGUGUGUGUGUGACUGCAAAUUAAAGGAUGCCUCGCUGGCUAUGUACUGUAAAUUUACAUGUCUUCAAAUAAAAUAAUAUGGCUGCCAUGCAGCAUGCAUAAGUUAAUUGCUUCUUCAUAGAAUCAUAGUACUCUCUCCGUUUUUAGUUGGUUUUAG